CUACCAGCGCGACGAUCCGUAGCUGGACUGACAGGAUGACCAGCCACACUGGAACUGAGACACAGUCCAUACUCCUACGGGAGGCAGCAAUGGGGAAUAUUGGACAAUGGGGGCAACCCUGAUCCAGCAAUGCCGCGUGUGUGAAGAAGGCCUGAGGGUUGUAAAGCACUUUCAGUGGGGAGGAGGGUUGAUAGGUUAAGAGCUGAUUAACUGGACGUUACACACAGUAAGAAGCACCGGCUAACUCCGUGCCAGCAGCCGCGGUAAUACGGAGGGUGCAAGCGUUAAUCGGAAUUACUGGGCGUAAAGGGUGCGUAGGUGGUUGAUUAAGUUAUCUGUGAAAUUCCUGGGCUUAACCUGGGACGGUCAGAUAAUACUGGUUGACUCGAGUAUGGGAGAGGGGAGUGGAAUUUCCGGUGUAGCGCUGAAAUGCGUAUAGAACGCAAGGAACACCCCUGCGGAACGGGGGUACCUGGCGAACUACAGACACUUAGGCGCGAAAGCGUGGGGAGCACAAAGGA
rnacentral:rRNA from 1 species